rnacentral:rRNA from 1 species
ACGAACGCUGGCGGCGUGCUUAACACAUGCAAGUCGAACGGAAAGGCCCUGCUUUUGUGGGGUGCUCGAGUGGCGAACGGGUGAGUAACACGUGAGUAACCUGCCCUUGACUUUGGGAUAACUUCAGGAAACUGGGGCUAAUACCGGAUAGGAGCUCCUGCUGCAUGGUGGGGGUUGGAAAGUUUCGGCGGUUGGGGAUGGACUCGCGGCUUAUCAGCUUGUUGGUGGGGUAGUGGCUUACCAAGGCUUUGACGGGUAGCCGGCCUGAGAGGGUGACCGGCCACAUUGGGACUGAGAUACGGCCCAGACUCCUACGGGAGGCAGCAGUGGGGAAUAUUGCACAAUGGGCGGAAGCCUGAUGCAGCAACGCCGCGUGCGGGAUGACGGCCUUCGGGUUGUAAACCGCUUUCGCCUGUGACGAAGCGUGAGUGACGGUAAUGGGUAAAGAAGCACCGGCUAACUACGUGCCAGCAGCCGCGGUGAUACGUAGGGUGCGAGCGUUGUCCGGAUUUAUUGGGCGUAAAGGGCUCGUAGGUGGUUGAUCGCGUCGGAAGUGUAAUCUUGGGGCUUAACCCUGAGCGUGCUUUCGAUACGGGUUGACUUGAGGAAGGUAGGGGAGAAUGGAAUUCCUGGUGGAGCGGUGGAAUGCGCAGAUAUCAGGAGGAACACCAGUGGCGAAGGCGGUUCUCUGGGCCUUUCCUGACGCUGAGGAGCGAAAGCGUGGGGAGCGAACAGGCUUAGAUACCCUGGUAGUCCACGCUGUAAACGGUGGGUACUAGGUGUGGGGUCCAUUCCACGGGUUCCGUGCCGUAGCUAACGCUUUAAGUACCCCGCCUGGGGAGUACGGCCGCAAGGCUAAAACUCAAAGGAAUUGACGGGGCCCCGCACAAGCGGCGGAGCAUGCGGAUUAAUUCGAUGCAACGCGUAGAACCUUACCUGGGUUUGACAUGGAUCGGGAGCGCUCAGAGAUGGGUGUGCCUCUUUUGGGGUCGGUUCACAGGUGGUGCAUGGCUGUCGUCAGCUCGUGUCGUGAGAUGUUGGGUUAAGUCCCGCAACGAGCGCAACCCUUGUUCACUGUUGCCAGCACGUUAUGGUGGGGACUCAGUGGAGACCGCCGGGGUCAACUCGGAGGAAGGUGGGGAUGACGUCAAGUCAUCAUGCCCCUUAUGUCCAGGGCUUCACGCAUGCUACAAUGGCUGGUACAGAGAGUGGCGAGCCUGUGAGGGUGAGCGAAUCUCGGAAAGCCGGUCUCAGUUCGGAUUGGGGUCUGCAACUCGACCUCAUGAAGUCGGAGUCGCUAGUAAUCGCAGAUCAGCAACGCUGCGGUGAAUACGUUCCCGGGGCUUGUACACACCGCCCGUCAAGUCAUGAAAGUUGGUAACACCCGAAGCCGGUGGCCUAACCGUUGUGGGGGAGCCGUCGAAGGUGGGACUGGUGAUUAGGACUAAGUCGUAACAAGGUAGCCGUACCGGAAGGUGCGGCUG